UCGUUUUACAGAAAUGAGGAAAAUAUUUUGCAAAAAUAAAUACACGUCUCUGACAGAUUGAUUUAUUAUGAAACUUUUUUCUUUUCCAGACAUUGAGAAAACAGAAGUGUGUGACUCCCUGAAAAACCUACUUUAAGAUAUACAUGUACAGUUGACAACCAAAGAUCUUGGACCCAUGCUGCAAUUUCAGCCACUGCUGCUCCUUCCCCUUGCUGUGUCUGGGGAUGAACUGUUGGUAGCCCCUUGUGCUGCCCACCCUGCUCAGGACCCUGGGUCCCUGGCAGCUCCAUGCUCCUUUGCGUCUUGCAGAGAAGCUCUGCUUUUCCUGUUUCCUGAUGUGGAACCUGUUUCUGGCCCCAUGGCGUUACGUACAUUUAAGGAAUCAAAACUAUUCCAAUCAGUUCCUCCCACGAAGCUACAGAAGAGCUAA
rnacentral:lncRNA from 1 species